UACAGAGGGGGCAAGCGUUGUUCGGAAUUACUGGGCGUAAAGGGCGCGUAGGCGGCCUGUUAAGUCGAACGUGAAAUCCCCGGGCUCAACCCGGGAACUGCGUCCGAUACUGGCAGGCUUGAAUCCGGGAGAGGGAUGCGGAAUUCCAGGUGUAGCGGUGAAAUGCGUAGAUAUCUGGAGGAACACCGGUGGCGAAAGCGCUCUGCUGGGCCGCAACUGACACUAAUGGACGAAAGCUAGGGGAGCGAAUGGG
rnacentral:rRNA from 1 species